CCCUAGAGGAAGCCGCGUCGGGUCCAAAGCCAAAAACCAAGAGGAGCAGGGACAGGAGGUGGGAGCCUCCUCGGCGGGAUCCGCUGGCUAAAUCCAUCUGUCCUGAAUCGCCCGCAAAGUUUCACAAGUCUGGGAUGAUAACUAUCUGAGCCCUGAAAGGCUUGGAGCCUUCAUCUGGAAUAUGGAGUCCUUUUUCUGUGUGCUGCCAACUGAGAACAUGGAAGAUGAAGACUGAAGCUGUUAUUCCUCUUCCUUGUAUCUGUGUGUGGUCCACAGCUGGGUCCUGUGCUGCUUCAAAAUCAGAGAGAGAUAGGACAUCUAGGAAAAGCUCUGAGUGGUGGUGGUGCUGUGUCCUAUAAAUAUGGUCUAAGAGGUAUUGGAUCACCCACAACUGAGCUCUACAGUCUAUCUCUAGAGUGGAUGUCUACCUUCCACUCUACCUUCACAAAAGCUGCCAGUUGAACUAAAGUAAUUGUGUUUUGUUAAAUAUUUAACAGUUGGCUCUGAAAAAAAUUUUUCAAAGCUCAAUUUUAAAUUUAAUCAUCAUUAUUAAUGUUUUCUCCAUCACAUUAAGUCUAGACAAUGAACAAAACAAUAAAUCAAGCCAUGAUUUAUCAUGUUUGUCAGUUUCUGAGGUGUCAAUUCAACAACUAGUUCUCUCUAGCCAGGAUGAACUAGCUCUAUCCCACCCCUGAACUCAGAUAUCCUUUCUAUAAGUCCAAGGUUCUUCCCACUCCACAAUAAGAUUAAGAAAAUCUUCUUUGAAACUGAUCCCAUUUCUGGAGGAGAAGAUGCCAAAAGCACAGGGGGAAAAAAUCAAAUUCUAUUAAUUCAAAACAAAUAUGUUGGAGUAAAUAUUUUUAAACUAUCAACUUAUAUGCCUUC